AGUGAAUAGAUACCCUGGUAGUCCACGCCGUAAACUAUGGAUGCUAGCUGUUGGCCGUAUCGACCCGGUCAGUAGCGAAAGCUAACGCGUUAAGCAUCCCGCCUGUGGAGUACGGUCGCAAGACUAAAACAUAAAGGAAUUGACGGGGACCCGCACAAGCGGUGGAGCGUGUUGUUUAAUUCGAUGCUAAGCGAAGAACCUUACCCAGGUUUGACAUCUUCGGAAUUACUACGAAAGUAGUGAGUGCCUUCGGGAACCGAAUGACAGGUGAUGCAUGGCCGUCGUCAGCUCGUGUCGUGAGAUGUUUGGUUGAGUCCAUCAACGAGCGCAACCCUUAUGAAUAGUUGUAUUUUCUAUUCAGACUGCCUCGGUAACGGGGAGGAAGGAGGGGAUGAGGUCAGGUCAGUAUUUCCCUUACAUCUGGGGC
rnacentral:rRNA from 1 species